GGUUGACCUCGGAUCAGGUAGGGAUACCCGCUGAACUUAAGCAUAUCAAUAAGCGGAGGAAAAGAAACCAACCGGGAUUGCCUCAGUAACGGCGAGUGAAGCGGCAAAAGCUCAAAUUUGAAAUCUGGCCCCUCCGGGGUCCGAGUUGUAAUUUGUAGAGGAUGCUUCGGGUGCGGCCCCCGUCUAAGUGCUCUGGAACGGGCCAUCGGAGAGGGUGAGAAUCCCGUCUGGGAUGGGGUGCCCGCGUCCGUGUGAAGCUCCUUCGACGAGUCGAGUUGUUUGGGAAUGCAGCUCUAAAUGGGUGGUAAAUUUCAUCUAAAGCUAAAUACUGGCCGGAGACCGAUAGCGCACAAGUAGAGUGAUCGAAAGAUGAAAAGCACUUUGAAAAGAGAGUUAAACAGCACGUGAAAUUGUUGAAAGGGAAGCACUGGCAACCAGACUCGCCCACGGGGUUCAGCCGGCCUUCGGGCCGGUGUACUUCCCCGGGGGGCGGGCCAGCGUCGGUUUGGGCGGCCGGUUAAAGGCCCCCGGAAUGUAACGUCCCUCGGGGCGCCUUAUAGCCGGGGGUGUCAUGCGGCCAGCCUGGACCGAGGAACGCGCUUCGGCACGGACGCUGGCAUAAUGGUUGUCAAUGACC
rnacentral:rRNA from 1 species